rnacentral:lncRNA from 1 species
UUGGUUUUUCUUCUCUGGCGGGAGGCUGGCGACUAGGGUUAGAGUUCGGUGUGAAGUCAGGUAUUUAUAUUCGUAUCCCUUUAAUCUGAACCGUCCAUCGCAUUUGAUCUUGAUUGUUCGAUCGCAUUUAAAGAGAAAAUGAAUUUGAACCUUUUAUCGCAAUUUGAUCUGGACCGUACGAUCAUGUUAAAGAGGAAACGAAUCUGAACCGUCCACGCGCGUGGGAACAAAUUUGGAUCGUUCGAGGCACGCAGAUUACCAGCGCGGUCUUCCGCGUGGUACAACGUCAGCGUGCCUUGUCACGCGGCGCACUACUGUUUGUCGGCGCUGCUGACUGGGCACAUUUUUCUUAAAUUGCAUUUUGACUCUUAAUUUUUCAAUUUUUUUUUUCAAAAAUACAUUCAAAACCCAAAAUUUCACCAUCCUUUCCUCCUAGGCUUGCUGUGCAGCGAUGAGUCUCUCCAGCAUUUCAAAUAAUUGGUCAACAUCCUCUCAAAGCAAACCCUCCC